rnacentral:lncRNA from 1 species
GUGCAGCCAGGGGCUUCCGGCCGCGGCCCUGGCGCGUGGUCUGCGCGCGCCCGGCCGUGCGUGCGGAUGCGGGGAGGCUGCGUGUGUGCGCAGGGAGAGAACGCCGGCCACCUUCCCGCUUCCGAGCUGGGUGCGCGCCGAGCACAGGAGAUUGCCUGCGUUUAGGAGGUGGCUGCGUUGUGGGAAAAGCUAUCAAGGAAGAAAUUGCCAAACCAUGUCUUUUUUUCUGUUUUCAGAGUAGUUCACAACAGAUCUGAGUGUUUUAAUUAAGCAUGGAAUACAGAAAACAACAAAAAACUUAAGCUUUAAUUUCAUCUGGAAUUCCACAGUUUUCUUAGCUCCCUGGACCCGGUUGACCUGUUGGCUCUUCCCGCUGGCUGCUCUAUCACGUGGUGCUCUCCGACUACUCACCCCGAGUGUAAAGUCUUGCUGCUCUGUUGCCCAGGCUGGAGUACAGUGGCAGGAUCUCAGCUCACUGCAAUCUCCGUCUCUCAGGUUUAAGCAGUUCUCCUGCCUCAGCCUCCCAAGUAGGUGGGACUACAGAACCUUCGGCUCGCGUGCUUCUGAGCUGCUGUGGAUGGCCUCGGCUCUCUGGACUGUCCUUCCGAGUAGGAUGUCACUGAGAUCCCUCAAAUGGAGCCUCCUGCUGCUGUCACUCCUGAGUUU